UACGCCUGCUCAUGCAUUAGUAAUAGCCGCAGUAUUCUGACUGUGCUAAGGUAGCAUAAUCAUUAGUCUCUUAAUUAGAGGCUGGUAUGAAUGGUGAGACGAGAAAAAAGCUGUCUCUAAAAUAAUUUUUGAAUUUUAUUUUUAAGUGAAAAAGCUUAAAUGAAUUUGGGGGACGAUCAGACCCUUUGGAGCUUUAUUAUUUUGGAGUUUUAGGUUACUUUUGAUAACAAAAAUUUUAUUGUAAUUUUGUUGGGGCGACAAAAAGUAAAAAAGACCACUUUUUUAAAAAAACAUAAAUAUAUGGAAAAUUGAUCCCUAUUGAAGGAUUAAAAGACUAAGUUACCCUAGGGAUAACAGCGUAAUCUUUUUGGAGAGUUCAUAUCGAUAAAAAGGUUUGCGACCUCGAUGUUGGAUUAAGAAAUUAGCAAGGUGCAGAAGUUUUGCUGGAGAGUCUGUUCGACUUUUAAUUUCUUACGUGAUCUU
rnacentral:rRNA from 1 species